GGAUAGAUGAGAAACCUACCGACUUUUGAACCACUAACAAAAAAAGGAGAAGGUAGGAGAAAUGGUUAGGGAGUCAAUAGGCCUUUUUUGGGGUGGGGAUAGAGGGACUUGAACCCUCACGAUUUCUAAAGUCGACGGAUUUUCCUUUUACUCUAAAUUUCAUUGUUGCCCGUAUUGAUAUUGACAUGUAGAAUGGGACUCUAUCUUUAUUCUCGUCCGAUUAAUCAGUUCUUCAAAAGUCAAAAGAAAGGAUCGAUCAGACCAUGGAGGUGGAGUGAAUGAUUUGAGCCGGGAAUAUUCGAUUCUUUCUUCAACUUAGAAUCGAUUCAUAACAAUAACAAUUCUUUUCUUUUUCAUAAAAAGAAAUACGUAUUUGGUUGUGAUUUUUGAGUUAGUUUUUCGCUGCGUAUACAUAGUCUAUAUACCCUUAUCCUUCAUCCUUUAUCGAGUUUCGAUAUUCGAUAGAAGCAUUCAUUUGACUUUCUUUUUUCUUUACCAAAAAGGGCAGUCAACUCCAUUUGUUAGAACAGCUUCCAUUGAGUCUCUGCACCUAUCCCCCUUUUUCGCUUUCUGAACCCCUGUUUGUUCUUGGAAAAGAGAAGAGGAUUUGGCUCAGGAUUACCCAUUUUUAAUUCCUGGGUUUCUCUGAAUUUGAAAGUUAUCACUUAGUAAGUUUCCAUACUAAGGCUCAAUCCAAUUAAGUCCGUAGCGUCUACCAAUUUCGCCAUAUCCCCUUUGUGUUUUAGGAACUCAAUGCUGUUCCCCCUUUCUUUCAUUUCUGCGGAAACAGUAGAAUUCCGUAGAUAUGGAUUUAUAUAUAUCGAAAGGUGUUUUGCUUUCUUGUCAGAAAUGAUUCUAUCUUUUCUGUAUCCGCAAUUCAAUAUAGAUGGAUAUAAACUACCAUAAAAUAUAUAUGCCCCCCUUACUCUCAUUUUUUUCGUGCAAUCCGGCGGAAUACUCGAACGGUCGAUUUAUUUUUUCGUUUUUUCUUACGCCCCUUUUCGAAUGAAAACAAAAAUGUCUCAUUCUAAUCCAGAUUCCAUUUAGCGGGAUUGUAUCUUUCUCUUUCAUUUCAUUUUCUAUUUAUACUUGCCCUUUCCUUAAGGAAGAACCUAUAUAACAUAACCAAAAAUAACUCAAAUUCCAAUUUCAAUUUAUUAAAUAAAAAUAAAUCAUUUUUAUUAAUCAUUUAGAAUAUAAUAGCUAGACCUAAUCAAUAGAAUAGCUAUAACUACUCAGUCAAUUAAAUUAGAAUUCGAAGAUAAUUCUAAUUAUUUAGUCUAAAGCCUAAUUAUUUCGAAUUAGAAUAGAGCAAAUUUAGAAUUUCGAAAAUGGAUAAUAAGAAUCGAAUAUAAUAUUCGAUUUAGAAUAACUAAAUAUAUAUAGAAUAUAGAAUAAUAAUCGAAUAUUAUGUAUAUUCUAUAAUAUAGAAUAAUCGAAUAGAAUAUAUUAAGAAUCUUAGGUUAGAAACAAAAAAAUAAUUUUAAAUGUCUUGAAUUCAAAAAUGAAAAAAAAAAAAAAUAAUAAAUAAAUCAAAUCGUAUUUUAUUAUCUAAUUAAGAGUAAGAUAUUUAUUGUUGAUCAAUAUAGAAUUGAUAAAAAAAUCCAAAUUCGCUAAUAUAUAUCAUCACUAGAUUCUCGUAAUUGUUAGAUUAAUCGUUAUGUUCUAUAUCUAUAGUAUUCAACAUUUAUUUGAAAUUCGAUUCUCUAUUUUAUUCUUUAUGAAUAGCUAAGAAUAAAAGGUUAAUAGAUAAGAUCCUAGGAUCCCUACGCAUGUACAAUUUCUCUUAUUUAAGCCCGCUUAGCUCAGAGGUUAGAGCAUCGCAUUUGUAAUGCGAUGGUCAUCGGUUCGAUUCCGAUAGCCGGCUUUUCUCUAUUUGUUUGAUUUUUUACAUGAUUGAUAAUGUCUUUUUGAAAGAAAAGAACAUUGAAAAGGCUUCUUCCAAGGAUCAUCGAUCCAGUAUGUUGUAGGAGCUUCCAAUUAUGAAUAAAAGUUGGAGGAAGUUCGAUUUCGGCAGAAUAAAUCAAGAAAAGGAACCCUCUUUUGAUUUAUAUUUCUAUAUGCGUAUACAAUACAAAAAGGGGUCUGGAAUUUGAUACAAAUCAUCUUAGUAUUCUUUGUAGUACAAUACUUCAGCGGAUUUUGCUUCAUUUAUCAUGUAGCUCAGUUUUAAUUUAGGUUUAUGAAAUUCAAUAAAAUAAGGAGUCUUUAUGUCACGUUACCGAGGGCCUCGUUUCAAAAAAAUACGCCGUCUGGGGGCUUUGCCGGGACUAACGAGUAAAAGGCCUAGAGCCGGAAGCGAUUUUAGAAACCAAUUGCGCUCCGUAAAAAAAUCUCAAUAUCGAAUUCGUUUAGAAGAAAAACAAAAAUUGCGUUUUCAUUAUGGUCUUACAGAACGACAAUUACUUAAAUAUGUUCGUAUCGCCAGAAAAGCCAAAGGGUCAACCGGUCUGGUUUUACUACAAUUACUUGAAAUGCGUUUGGAUAACAUUCUUUUUCGAUUGGGUAUGGCUUCAACUAUUCCUCAAGCCCGCCAAUUGGUUAACCAUCGACAUAUUUUAGUUAAUGGUCGUAUAGUCGAUAUACCAAGUUAUCGUUGCAAACCCCGAGAUAUUAUUACAGUAAGGGAUGACCCAAAAUCUAGAUCUCUGGUUCAAAAUUAUCUUGAUUCAUCCCACCAUGAGGAAUUGCCAAAGCAUUUGACUCUUCGCGCAUUCCAAUAUAAAGGAUUAGUCAAUCAAAUAAUAGAUAGUCAAUGGGUCGGUUUGAAAAUAAAUGAAUUGCUUGUCGUAGAAUAUUAUUCUCGUCAAACUUAAACCUAACUAAAAUAACGGGCUCGUACAAAUUUACCCUUUCACCUAACUUAAGGAAAGGGAUACAAGGUAAGGAGUUUGAUCCGUGGAGUUUUUUUUUUAUCCCAUUCAUGUAUCAUAGAUCCGAGGGUAGAUUUUUAUCCCCUGCCUGCCCCUUCCCUUUCUUUCCCGUAGGAAUUGAGAAUCUAGCUCAAAAAAAGGUCUGACUGCUUCGGUAUUCAUUCUUUUUUGCUUGGAUACAUUCCGGUCAGUAACAUUGAUGAAUUAGUUCAAGGUACGGAAAGAGAGGGAUUCGAACCCCCGGUAAACAAAAGUCUACAUAGCAGUUCCAAUGCUACGCCUUGAACCACUCGGCCAUCUCUCCUACACAAUGAUUAUGACCGAGAACCCGCGUGAAUAGCGAGUUGUUCAAAUUCGAUUGGUAGAUGGGUACGGACAAUCGAAUCCGUUCUAACUAGAAAAAUAGAAACCCUUUCAGCAAAGAAAAAAUUCUUCCUUUGAGUCUGGGGAAAAGGAUAACUUUUUUGUUUGUGAAAAACUGUUCAAAACAAAAAACAAUAAGGCUAUAUAUCUUGUUUGCAAAGAUGGCGCUCCUUUUUUUUUUUUUUUCUGAUAUUUCUACCUGAUUUAAUCAAUGAGUUGGAACGAAUCAACGGAUCGGUCUAUUUUUUUUUUUAUUUUUUUUAACACGUCUGCUUUUAUGUUAUUUUGUACUGUACAAUUCCUUUGUUUGUGGGAUCAUUUUCUCACAAGAGGUAAUGAAACGAAUUAUAGAAUGGAUUUUUACCUAUGCCUAGAUCGCGGAUAAACGGAAAUUUUAUUGAUAAGACCUUUUCGAUUGUAGCCAAUAUAUUAUUACGAAUAAUUCCGACAACUGUAGGAGAAAAAGAGGCAUUUACCUAUUACAGAGAUGGUGCGAUUUGAUUAGUUUUUUAUUUACCCCUUUCGGUCUUAGAAGAAAGAAAGACAAUUCGGGAUAGAAAAAAAAAAAAAAAAGAUUAUUGAAAAAAUCUACGCUUGUUGAAGGUGAAGUUUAUAGAUAAAACCAUUCCUUCUGUCGUGUAUCCCGAUUAAUGCAGCCUCAGAUGCUUCAAUUGUCGAUUCUAGUAUUGAGCGAAAGGUUACACCUAUGGGUUCUGUAUUGCAAGUCAACCCUACUACACCAGUACCAAUAGGCGGCAUAGGGGAAGAGGCGCUACGUCUAGGAAUCAGCAACACGAAAACUUUGUUAUAAGCUGCCCCCUUUCCUUAGCGGGAUCGGGACUAAGAAGAAUGGUUGGGAUAACAAACAUCCAUCUCGUUCGUACUGUGGAUACCCGUAUAACCAUCGAAGACUGUUGAAGUGAUUAAUUCCUGUAAAUUAAGGGGCGUUGAGAACAAAGAAAUUGUUGGAGUUUCCGGUUUUAUCUAGUACCAACACGCGUGAUAUUAAGAAAAAAGCUUUUGCAGGAAGGUUGGCUAGAGAUUUCUUGUAAAAACAUUAGCCCCACUUAGUUCAUAAUGAGAAUAUUUCAAUCUUUUUUGAUUUCAUGGAUUAUUCUCAUAAUGCACAUAAAGGAGGAGCCGUAUGAGAUUUUCAUCUCAUGUACGGUUUUGAAACGGAGAAUUCUUUGAAUCGAAUGACGACCGUAACGGAUGUCAGCUCAAUCUGAAGGCAAUUAUGCGGAAGCUUUACAGAAUUAUUAUGAAGCUAUGCGACUAGAAAUUGAUCCUUACGAUCGAAGCUAUAUACUCUAUAACAUAGGCCUUAUCCACACAAGUAACGGAGAACAUACAAAAGCUUUAGAAUAUUAUUUUCGGGCACUAGAACGAAAUCCGUUCUUACCACAAGCUUUUAAUAAUAUGGCUGUGAUCUGUCAUUACGUGCGACUAUCUCUACUAUAGAAAGAAAAAAGUAAAAGAAAAAAAAAAAGGAGGGGGGGUAAAGAGCAAAUACACUAAUAAAUACUCGAAAAAAAAAAAAAAUAGGCUUUCUACAUAUGCAUCGUGCAAAAACGAUUUUUAUCAGCUGUAGCAAAGAAAGAAACUUCAUAGAAGUCGAAAUAUGAAGAAAUCGAUAUGCCUAGAUAGUUUAUUCUAUGGAUAAAGGAUCUAAUUGAUAGAGGAAGCACCGUAAAGAUCAAUUCGCGAGGUUUUGGGCCGAUGCCGAUCCAAUAAGAACUGCUUAUUUAUGUCAUGAUAUGAGAUAAAAGUAAGGAAUCCACUUAUGUAAUAAAGUCGAUCCCCUAAGGUAUUGAGCAGCGGUGUAGCAUCAGAUCCCAAAGACAGUAAGCCUUUUCUUUCUUAGGAAGAAAGGGCUUUUUCAAAGAUUCUAUAUCAAUUUUUAUAUGAAACCGAGAUAGAUACCUUUCAGAAAAUUCUAACUAUAGUGGAAAUGCUUCUAUGUUAUUCUUCUGACGGUGGAGAAAAGAUAAAAUGAAAGCAAAGCUGAUUAUUAAUUUAAUCAAAAGUCAAGUUUGAAACUCAUGCUCAUGGAAUUAACCUCUUU
rnacentral:lncRNA from 1 species